rnacentral:lncRNA from 1 species
AGGGAGAGAUUCAAUGUUGAGAAAUGUAUCCCAAAAAGUCAAUCGUCAAGCUGUUGACGGUUGAGCAAUCAAGUAUUGUAAUUGAUUUGUUAAUAAAUAAAAUAUAUUUGGUAUUUUCAUCAUAAGCUUUCAUCUUCAAAUGAACUCCAUUGUUAUGAUGAAGUCCUUAGGACUAUUUAGAUUCAACAAAGAGAGGAUUUAUCGAUUAGUCCUUAAAACAGUUCACGACCAAAUGAUAGGCCCUCAAUAAGGACGACAGCUUCUAUCGAGCAUAGGUCGCUGUAGGCCAUAUGGGUUGG